GGGGACAAUUGCUCUCAAUUAGAGCACCACGUCAUUGAUUUCUGCUUGAAUAUUGGGAUGCAGCGGUCAUGGAUUUUGUAAACCUUUUUUGCCGAGGAGAUGUGGUUAGCGGAUUUGCAGUGCAGUGGGAGGAAAUUUAAAGGGCAAUGGGAGAAGAAGGGGAGAGCCUUUGGUGUUUAGCUGGCUCAAUUUGUUUGAGGCGUUGAGUUUUCUGACGCCAUCAACUGAGGUUGAAAUUUUUAAUUUUUUGUCUAGGAAUUGUCCGUGAAGAAAUGCAUGGUAAUUUGGUCACCGCUACAACAAGAAGGACGCUCCCUUGCCUGGCAUCAACGAGGGCCAACAGAUAAACAACACCAGUUUUGAAUUCCACACUCAUGCAGAUAUAUUCCACCACUGAAUGUGGCUGCACUUUUGAAACAAAUUCUGAAAUUUUGUGCAAGCCACCAAUUUAGAAAUAUAUACAUUUGGUGGAUUACCAAAGUUUGUAUGUAAAACACUUUGGUUGUAGAUGAUUACUGCCAUAAGCCAAUCAA